rnacentral:lncRNA from 1 species
CAGCUGAUACAAGAUGGCGGACUGCCUCAUCGGGCGAAGAGCAUGAACACACAGCCUGGAGAGGCAAGGAGGCCAAGCAGGCUGUAUAUUUCCUACACAUCCUCGUCUCCAUCAACACACACACACACACACGGGCAUACAAGUGUCUGAAUAACACAGAUGCAAUAGCUUUACAUCAUCUGUACAAGCAUCAAAAUUAUGUAUUAACAUCAUAAACACAGAAAAAACCUUCAUUCAAUUCACACAAAUACAGUUUUUUCUCAAUGAUUGUGUUGACGGAAAUGAAUGUUUCUACACAAUUUUAAUUUAUCCAUUGGUGGAUAAAUCAUAUACAAUUUAUCAAAUUGGUGGAUAAAUUAUAUUCAAUUUAUCAAAUUGGUGGACAAAGCCAAUUUGAUUUAUCAAAUUGGUGAACGAAGCCCCUCUCCCAUGAAAUUUUUGAAGAAUUCCUGCUGAUCAAAACUCAAAGGCUGUUUUGAUCUUCAAUUGAAACAUUCAGAAUUUGAAGAGAAUUUUAUUGCUUUUAUUGUGGCAAAUGAAGAAAUAAUUUCUAGAGAAAAGCUGAAGUUUUUUAUGAUUUAUUUGAAGUGAAGCAAAAAUGUAAUGGAAGUGAAGAAAAUAUAUAAACACUAAAAAUUUUAAACGUCACCUGGAAAUUUGUUGCCAAGUUUAUUGUGCAUGUGGCUUGAACUAUAAACUUUUCACCCAUUGAAAAAUAAAUAAAAAAACUGCUGUAGGAACCU